rnacentral:rRNA from 1 species
GACGAGGGAUCCUAGCGUUGUUCGGAAUUAUUGGGCGUAAAGCGGGUGUAGGUGGCUUUGUAAGUCAGGUGUGAAAGCCCAGGGCUCAACCCUGGAAGUGCAUCUGAUACUGUAGGACUUGAGUUCGGUAGAGGAGGGCGGAAUUCCAGGUGUAGCGGUGAAAUGCGUAGAUAUCUGGAGGAACACCCGUGGCGAAGGCGGCGCUCUGGUCCGAAACUGACGCUGAGGUGCGAAAGCUAGGGUAGCAAACAGGAUUAGAAACCCGAGUAGU